UACGUAGGGUGCGAGCGUUGUCCGGAAUUAUUGGGCGUAAAGAGCUUGUAGGCGGUCUGUCGCGUCUGCUGUGAAAAUCCGGGGCUCAACCCCCGGACUUGCAGUGGGUACGGGCAGACUGGAGUACUGCAGGGGAGACUGGAAUUCCUGGUGUAGCGGUGGAAUGCGCAGAUAUCAGGAGGAACACCGGUGGCGAAGGCGGGGUCUCUGGGCAGUAGCUGACACUGAGGGCGCGGACAGC
rnacentral:rRNA from 1 species